rnacentral:rRNA from 1 species
AGAGUUUGAUCAUGGCUCGGGACGAACGCUGGCGGCGUGCCUAACACAUGCAAGUCGAGCGAAGUAUUUUGGAAGGAAGUUUUCGGACGGACUGAAAAGAUAUCUUAGCGGCGGACGGGUGAGUAACGCGUGAGGAACCUGCCUUCCACAAAGGGAUAGCCUCGGGAAACUGGGAUUAAUACCUUAUGACACUAGACUACCACAUGAUAGACUAGUCAAAGCGUAAAGCGGUGGAAGAUGGUCUCGCGUCCCAUUAGUUAGUUGGUGAGGUAACGGCUCACCAAGACCGCGAUGGGUAGCCGGCCUGAGAGGGUGAACGGCCACACUGGAACUGAGACACGGUCCAGACUCCUACGGGAGGCAGCAGUGGGGAAUAUUGCACAAUGGAGGAAACUCUGAUGCAGCGACGCCGCGUGAACGAUGAAGGCCUUCGGGUCGUAAAGUUCUGUCCUUGGGGACAUAAUGACGGUACCUUAGGAGGAAGCCCCGGCUAACUACGUGCCAGCAGCCGCGGUAAUCU